GCAGCGCCGCGAAGGGGACGUGCGUGGAGAAGAGCCUCGGAUCCGGGAGGUCGCCGAUGUCGGGGACUCUGCCGCAAGUGUAGAUCUGGAACUCCAAGUUCUGGACGCACUCGUGGGGGCCGAAGGAGUGGAAAGGGUGGUCGGCGGCGUCCGGAGGGUGCUCCCGCCGGUGCACGGUGGCGUAGAGGAGCGCUUGGGUCCACGUGGUGCCGGUCUUGGGCAGGCUGGCGAGGAUGACGUCCGUGGGCCGCGCGGCGAAGCGGGCGCCGGCGACCAUGGCACCGACCAUGGGCAUCUGGCCGGUGCGCCAGCCUUGGCCGUGGAGGUAGAGCCGCUGGUGCGACAGGCCAUCGGAGCUCGGCAGGGAGGAGACCAGGUCGGUGAAACGCUGGUAGAGUUGCUGGUUGGUUUCCUCCGCUUGCGCAUCGGCUUCUUGCUGGGGAACGGUUUGCACGGAGAACGACAUGGCGAGUUGGCGAGUCGUGGCACCUUUGAUUCUUUGUAUAAAUGUAUGCAAGGGUAAGGCGUCUGGUACUCUAGCUGGUUGAUGGUUCGGUAAAGGUGCCUUGGUAGAGGAAGCAAACCCCGGCGAGAGGCCUGUGAUUAUAUUCCACGAGGCUCUCACAGCACGGGCUGGGUAGGCAAGCGGCGGAAUAAAUAACAAACCGUACGUGCAAUCACGUGAGAUGAUUGAUAAUAAUGCGUUGCCAAAGUACGCCACAGCAUGAGGUCGGAUAUGACGCGCCGCCGAUGCGCCGCAACAUCAGGCUGCCAUCGAUCUCUCGUAUCGUAUCCAUGGAUGCUACCUAAACUGCUAGAAGCAGUUUGUCCAACUUCUUUCCGUGACGGUUCUGAUCGAUCCAUUGCAGAGGAAGAAAUUACACGCAGAAUUGUGCAGUGGCUCCGCGGUUGAGGGGAUAUAAGAGAAGGGGAUCCAACAUCCGCAGCAUGCACGUAGAUGCCCCCCUGGCGCCUAGAGGUGAUCUAGAAAACAACAUGUAGAGUUUUUUCAUAGGUGGCAUUAAUUUCUUCCCUUCUUUGUACGGCACCUUAAUUUUGCUCAAGUUUCCGCAAGUGACACGUGCAUGCUCCAACAUACAGUAUUCUCCACGUCUACGGAUUAACAUGGAGCGCCUCCAAAAGAAAGAGGAAGAGAGAGAGGCGCACAAAAUAAGCAACUUUUUACCCCCAACAUUAUUAUUUAUACAUAUAUACUAUUAAUUCUUUUCUCUUGCUUUAAUUUGUACUACUAGUAUCAUGAUUAUUCGAAUCAGAUCAGGGCUCGAUGUGGCUUGGAUGAAGAAGCACCAUGCACGUUGCGGAACUACUGAGAAGUAAGUCCAUGCAUGCACAACUAAAGGAGUCAUAAAAUGUACAGGUAGAGCCUUUUGUACACACUGGAAUCGUCAAAACGUACGUGCUUGUGUACUGUUCCCAUUUAUUGGGUGACGUAACUCAAGGCUUUGAUGAUACUUUAAACAUGUAGGCCACGUUAUUUUAUACGUAAAACGUAUUACUUUAGUGGAUGUUGAAAAUAGUCUGUACAGCUUUUACCAGCCUGGGGCCUUUCUUCUUUUUUUUGGGACGGCUAAGUUAUAAUGAUCUUUUGCUAAAAUUUUCGUUACCAUGAGGGCCUUUCUUCUUUUUUGUAUGGUUCUUUUGCAGUUCCCUGGGCCGAAAGGUGUGCAGCGCUCCAGCCAUUUACUUCUUCCUCCACAGUCUGUCCUUUUGGCCAGCCCAAUAAGCGACGGAGCUCCAAGACGUUCAUGGGCUCAUGAGACCUGCUGCAUGCAGUUUAUCAUGCACGCACCACCAACCCUCAGCGCUUCACCUUCCCUGUCGAAUUUUUUUUAUUUUUAUAUUUUUUUUGAUUUUGCAAAAAUAUAUAGUCGGAUGGAAAAAUUGCAUAUUGGGCUAUUGCCGCCGGCCCAGGUGGCGGAAGGGCCUUACCGCCGCCUCAGCCGGCGGUAAGGCCCCCGCCAACGGUCAGCAGCCGGCGUAACUGCGGGCGCGUGAGUCGAGGUUUUACCGCCGCCUGGGCCGACAACAGUCGCCCCUUUAUAACCUGCCCACGCCCCUCCCCUCUCCCCGCACCAGUGCGCGCCCGCAACAAGCCUGAGAAGGGAGAGGGAAGAGAAAGAGGAAAGGAGGGAAGGAAAAAAAAGAGAGAGGAGAGGAGGAGGAGGGAAGAAAAAAAAGAAAGAAAGGAGGAGGAGGGAAGAAAAAAAGAAAGAAAGGAGGAGGAGGUGGAAGAGGGAAGAAAUUUCUUCCGUCUUUCGCAGGUAAUUUUUUUUAAUCUCGUAGUUUAGUUUAGUUUAGUUUAGUUUAGAUCAAAUCUAGAUUUAGAAAUAUUAGUCUAACUGUUAGAAGGUGUUUGGCAGCACUCUUUUUCAGAAAAAACAGGUCCACUUUACCAACUCUACAAAAUUACCUGUCAAACACAUCCAGCUCCACAAACUUCAGCUUCAGAAAAAAUAUGUAGCUAGGUGUUGGGGGGAAAUAUUAACGAUCUCCUAAAUACCGCUUAAAGGAACAAACAUGAAGGCCCAGGCCCAUCCAGGAUAACAAACUCACCGUCAAACCCAACAUGAGCGAAACUCCGCCUCGCCCGACCACGGUCUCAGGGUCGGGAAACGUCCGACCUCCCGCCAUGAGGCUCCGCCUCGUCCGACCGCGACCCCAGGGUCGGAGGCGCCCGACCCCUCGCCACAAGGUUCCGCCUCGUCUGACCCUGGGCACGGGGGUCGGACUCACUGGGGCCCCCAGGACGGGUAGCCCCCUCGGGCGCGGACCGGGUGAUCAAGGUAACGAUCCCGUGGGUCCCCCUUGUCGACCUCGUCAUAAAUGCGCCGCAGGCCUAGCAGGAAGAAGGAUGACCGCGCUCCUCACGCAACCCGCUGCAAGUACCCAUGCACGACCACACUGUACAAGCUACAGUGCUGGCGGCUUCCUUCCAUUCGCCGCAGGGUACUCAUGGCCUGCGCCGACCGGAGCAGAGGGAAGACUCGCCCGUUCUCGGGCUCCGCGCGCCCGGCAGCGGGGAUGUGACGCCCUCUCUCCACAAGCCAUCAUCAGGACGGCGGCAUCCGCCGUCCCUCCCAACGGACACCGGAGUAAUGACGAAACGCCUUCAUCAUAACCCGACACCUACAGACACCGAAGAGGCUAUCUGUAGGGCGCGACGACAGUUGGCACACGGCCGCCCCCUUCCUCCAGCAUGCACGCCGGCGCACGUCAGGGACUGGCGAAGGCGCCGGGCACCUAGAAACUUGGUUUCUCCCUUCUUGCCGUAUUUUUACCGUACUACGUUUAAACUCUUACUGCCCUCAUCGCCCGGUCUCAGCUGUAACUCCGGCCGCUCCCUUACAAUAUAAAAGGGGGCAUCGGGGGCCAGAGAGGGGGAUCGGCUUCUUCUCCCACAAGCCACAACACAUUACUACUCUCCCUGAGAGCACAAGCACGAAAGAGACUUGGGACCAGUCCCUCUCUCGUCGAUCUGUAACCCCUACUACAGAACCCCGCGUGGGCAACACGAGCAUCCUCGAUACUGGACGUAGGGCUUCCCUUGCCCAAACCAGGCUAAACCCGUGUCUCCCACGCCACCAUCUGAAGCCUUACGCGCAUAAAAGAAAUAUACUAGUCUAAGUCUUGAUCCGCAAAUCCUGACAACGACAGUUGGCGCGCCAGGUAGGGGCCCUUUGCGCGUACGUCUCCGGCCUCAGAUGGCCAGUUACGAUAUCAGCUUUGCUCCGGGCUCCCUGAUCCGUUUCGGGAGCCUGGACUUCCUCGCCACCGGGGAAGGGAUCGAGCUGAUCCCUAUCCUCGUCGUGCCCGCUCGUCCUGUUGUCCUCAGCCCCGCCGCUAGGACAGCGGCGAGCUGCCGGGCGUGUACCAGAAGGCCCUUACCAGGAGGACGGCCCUUCGGGCUAUGCAACGCCACGGGGGCUUACGGCCACCUCCUAACACAGUCCAUGACCGUGUUGCCCGCGAGCAACGAGCUCGCAGGCGCGGCGAGGACGAUCUUCGACACCGGCUCCAGCAGCGGGAGCCCCCACCCCUCGCGUGAGUGUCUCAUGGCCGACGCGCACUCCGAGGGGUCCAACGGCAACGGCGCCGAGGGGAGACAGAGGACUCCUCCCUCGCGUGCCGCGGCUACAACCGGAGCCUUACCAAGGGCACCAGAGUGCUCUCAGCAGCUGGAGGCGCGCGCGGGCUCCCGCCAAGAAAUCGAGCAUCCCCACCACGAGGGCGGAGCACGACAACGGGCGCGCGACGUCCAGCAGCGCAUUUGCGCGGACGAAGAGCGUCCACAGCUCUUCGCCCGCGCCAGCCAAAACGUCGCAGCCGCAGCGGUCUUGCUCCGGCAACUCCCCGAACUGGUGACGCCCGAGGAGCGACGGGCACGCCAAGAGAUGCGCAACCUGCUCGAAUGCGCCGCCGUCCAGCAGGCAGAAAGUUCCGCGUCCCGGCGACGCGGACAGAACGCCAGCAGGGCGACGCCCGACGCGCCCCCGGAAAGACGGGGGGAGUCUAUCCAUCAACCCCCUCCUUGGGCGAAUCAGGCCACGUCCGCCCGACGGACGCCACCACCCGCGGAAGGCGAGGCUCGAUCCGUCCACCAGCGCGUUGGCCCCGUCCGCGACGCCCGCGACACCCUGAACGACGGACGCACUCCCGCGCGGACAGGGAGGACGGGGUGGAUCGAGGCUACCACGUUCACCGCGGCGGGCGCUACGACAGCAGGGAAGACCGCAGCCCGAGCCCCGGCCCGGCUGGGCCCCGGGCCUUCUCUGCGCGCAUCUUGAACGCGCCUUUUCCGCCACGCUUCAGGCAACCCACAAAUAUGGCCAAAUACUCAGGGGAGACGAACCCUGGGGUAUGGCUCAGUGACUACCGGCUUGCAUGUCAAGCCGGCAGGGCGGAUGAUGACCUGUUUAUCAUCCGCAACCUACCCAUCUUCCUGGCCGACUCAACGCGAGCUUGGCUGGAACAUAUCCCUUCGGGACGAAUCCGCAGCUGGAACGAUCUGAAGGAGGUCUUCAUAGGGAACUUCCAAGGCACGUGCACGCGCCCCGGCAAUUCCUGGGACCUCCGGAGCUGUCGCCAGGGAGCGGACGAGUCCCCCCGGGAUUAUAUCCGACGCUUCUCCAGGAAGCGCACCGAGCUCUCCAACGUCGCGGACGCCGACGUCAUAGGGGCUUUCCUAGCGGGAACCUCCUGCUGGCCCCUCGUCCACGAGCUGGGGCGCCGAGGCCCGCGAACCACGGAGGAGCUCCUCAACAUCGCCACCAGCUACGCCUCGGGUGAAGAGGCUGUUGGAGCGAUCUUCGACCGCUCCAAAGGCAAGGCAAAGCGGGAGGAGGAUGCUGACGAAGGCACCCCCAGCCGCCAGCAGAAGAAAAAGGGCAAACAGCGGCGCGAGGCUCCCCUCGUGGCUGCUGUCGAGAGUAAGCGAGGGCAGCCACCCCCCGAGGGCACUCCCGGCUUCUUCGACAAACUGCUCGAGGGACCGUGCCCGAACCACGAGUUCCCCACGAAGCAUGCCUACAAAGACUGCAACCUCAUGAAGAGGUACUUUGUGGGCAACCCGGUGAAAGGCGACCGAAAGCGAAAACCCGAUGAGGAAAAGAAGGGCGACGAAGAGAAGGAAGACGGCUUUCCCAAGGUGGACGGCUGCUUCAUGAUCUUUGGCGGCUCCGCGGCGUACGAUACCAAGCGCCAGCAGAAGCUGGAGCGCCGGGAGGUCUACGCGGCCGAGCCAGCAACUCCGGCCUUCCUGGACUGGUCGGGACCGGCCAUCACCUUUGAUCGGUCCGACCACCCUGGACGCGUCCGGCAUCCGGGACGUUACCCUCUCGUCGUCGACCCCAUCGUCGGCACGACGCGCCUCACCAAGGUGCUCAUGGAUGGGGGCAGCGGCCUCAACAUCCUCUACGCGGAGACCCUUGACGCUAUGGGGAUCGACCGUUCCCACCUCCGUCCCAGCAAGGCGCCUUUCCACGGCGUCGUGCUAGGGAAGCAGGCAAUGCCUCUCGGGCAAAUCGACUUGCCCGUUACGUUCGGGACCCCUUCCAACUACAAGAAGGAGGUCCUCACCUUCGAGGUGGUAGGGUUCCGCGGAACCUACCACGCCAUCUUGGGACGGCCAUGCUACGCAAAGUUCAUGGCCAUCCCCAACUACACCUACCUCAAGCUCAAGCUACCGGGGCCCAACGGGGUCAUCACCGUCGGCAUGACCUUUCAGAAGGCGUAUGAGUGCGACGUGGAAUGCUGCGAGUACACCGCGGCCAUCACCGUCACGAGCAAUCUGGCGGUCCAGCUCGCGGAGGCCACCGAGGACCGGCCCGACUUCAAGCAGCCGACCACCUCCUUUGAGCCCACCGAAGGCAUCAAGGAGGUCCCCCUCGAUCCCAGCUGUUCCAACGGAGGAGUCGUGCGGAUCAGUGCUACCUUGUCCUCCAAAUAGGAAAGCGCGCUCAUCGAGUUCCUCCGCGCGAGCAGCGACGUCUUCGCGUGGAAGCCCUCGGACAUGGCUGGCAUUCCGAGAGAAGUCGCCGAGCACUCCUUGAACAUCAAGGCCGGCUCCAAGCCAGUGAAGCAAGGACUGCGCCGUUUCGACGAGGAAAGGCGCAAGGCCAUCGGCGAGGAGCUCCAGAAGCUUCUGACGGCCGGGUUCAUCAAGGAAGUGCACCACCCCGAGUGGCUGGCUAAUCCUGUCCUUGUACCAAAAAAGACCAGGAAAUGGAGGAUGUGUGUUGAUUAUACCGGUCUAAACAAAGUGUGUCCAAAGGAUCCGUUUCCUUUGCCAUGCAUAGAUCAAAUAGUUGACUCAACCGCCGGGUGCGAAACCCUCAGCUUCCUUGACGCAUAUUCCGGCUACCAUCAGAUCGCGAUGAAAGAGACCGAUCAGCUCGCCACCUCCUUCAUCACCCCCUUUGGCCCCUACUGCUACGUUAAGAUGCCAUUCAGCCUCAAAAACGCGGGGUGCAUGCUAAAGUGCUUCGGGGACCUCAUCGGGCGGACUGUUGAGGCUUACGUUGAUGACAUCAUGGUCAAAUCCAAGAGGGACGAUCAGCUCGUCCCCGACCUGGAAUUAGCCUUUGAAAGGCUGAGGGAUAAGCGUAUUAAGCUCAAUCCCGAAAAAUGUGUAUUCGGAGUCCCGAGGGGCAUGCUAUUAGGCUUCAUCGUCUCCGUGCGUGGCAUCGAAGCGAACCCGGAGAAGAUAGCGGCCAUCAGCGACAUGGGGCCAAUCCGGAACAUAAAGGGAGUCCAGCGCGUCACGGGAUGCUUGGCGGCCCUAAGCCGCUUCAUCUUGCGCCUCGGUGAGCGAGGGCUUCCUCUCUAUCGACUCCUGAAAAAGACUGACCGCUUCGAAUGGACCGGCGAGGCCCAGGAGGCACUUGACCGACUCAAGGACCUCCUGACGAAGGCCCCGAUCCUAGUCCCGCCUACCUACAGUGAGCCCCUCCUGCUCUACAUUGCGGCGACCACCCAAGUGGUUAGCGCGGCCCUGGUGGUGGAACGAGAAGAGGAGGGACACGCUCUCAAGGUGCAACGCCCGGUGUAUUUCAUCAGCGAGGUCUUGUCCGAGUCCAAGGAACGUUACCCACAGAUCCAGAAGCUCAUCUACGCCGUCCUUAUCAUGAAGAGGAAGCUGCGCCACUACUUUACCUCCCACCCGGUAACGGUUGUUUCGUCAUUCCCGUUAGGCGAAGUAAUCCGAAACCAGAACGCCACGGGGAGGAUCGCGAAGUGGGCGCUCGAGCUCAUGGACCAGGGUAUCACCUACGCCCCCCCCAACGCCAUCAAGUCCCAGGUACUCGCUGACUUCGUGGCAGAAUGGACGGAGAUCCAGACGCCAUCGACGCCGGAGAAGCAGGAGUACUGGACAAUGUACUUUGAUGGGUCGCUGAUGAGGGCCCGCGCCGGAGCGGGUCUCGUCUUCGUCUCUCCUCUAGGCGUACGCAUCAGGUACAUGAUCCGCCUCCACUUUUCUGCGUCCAACAAUGUCGCCGAGUACGAAGCCCUCCUCAACGGGCUCCGCAUCGCCAUCGAGCUGGGCAUCCGCCGGUUGGACAUCCGGGGCGACUCCCAGCUAGUCGUCGAACAAGUCAUGAAGGAGUGGAGCUGCCACAACCCCAAGAUGGCAGCCUACUGCAAUGAGGUUCGCAAGCUCGAAGACAAGUUCGACGGGCUGGAGCUCAACCACAUCGCAAGGCGCUUCAACGAAGCUGCCGACGAGCUAGCGAAGGCGGCAUCCGGCCGAAUGCCCGUGCCCGACGGCGUCUUUGUUAGUGACCAGUUGAAGCCUUCAAUCCGUUACCCAGAGCUGGCAGGGGUCGGCGAAGCAUCCCCGGCCCCGGGGUCGGGCCCCGACUCAGGGGAGGUUGGCAGCACGCCGCCUAUCCCAGGCUCGGGCACCAGCCUCGAUCCCUCUAGCCUCAUGGUCAUGGCAAUCGCGGCAGACCCCACGGUGGGGGCCGACCCCCCGACCGACUGGAGAGCCCCACACCUCGACUACCUCGUCCGCGACACGCUCCCGGCAGACAAGACAAAGGCCCGUAGGACCGCGCGCCGCGCCAAAUCCUUCGUCGUCAUCGACCAGAAGCUCUACAAGAGAAGCCACACUGGGAUCCUCCAGUGCUGCAUCUCGAUCGAACAGGGAAAGGCGCUGAUCCAGGAUAUCCACGCCGGAGCCUGCGGUCACCACGCCGCGCCAAGGACCCUCGUUGGCAACGCCUUCCGGCAAGGUUUCUAUUGGCCGACCGCGGUCGCCGAUGCUACUCAGGUAGUCCGCACCUGUGAGGGGUGCCAAUUCUUUGCGCUCCAGACUCACCUGCCCGCACAGACGCUACAGACCAUCCCCAUCACGUGGCCGUUUGCGCUCUGGGGGCUGGAUCUCGUCGGACCCUUCAAGAAAGCGCCCGGGGGCUUCACCCACCUACUUGUCGCCGUUGACAAGUUCUCCAAGUGGAUCGAGGCAAGACCGGUGGCGCAAAUCAGGUCCGAGCAGGCGGUACAGUUCUUCACCGACAUCAUCCACCGCUUCGGGAUCCCAAAUUCCAUCAUCACCGACAACGGUACGCAGUUCACUGGGAAGAGAUUCCUCCAGUUCUGCGACGACCACCACAUUCGAGUGGACUGGGCGGCCGUGGCACACCCCCGCAUGAACGGGCAAGUCGAGCGAGCCAACGGCAUGAUACUCCAAGGUCUCAAGCCACGGAUCUUCGAUCGCCUCAAAAAGUUCGGCGGACGGUGGGUUGCCGAGCUCCCCGCAGUCCUCUGGAGCCUGAGGACGACCCCCAGUCGGGCGACGGGCUUCACCCCGUUCUUCAUGAUUUACGGGUCCGAGGCCAUCCUGCCCACCGAUCUAGAAUACGGAUCGCCGAGGGUCAAGGCAUACGACGAACAAGGGAACCAGACAUCGCUCGAGGACGCACAAGAUCAACUCGAUGAGGCACGAGACGUAGCCCUGCUGCACUCGGCUAAAUAUCAGCAGGCCCUACGGCGUUACCACAGCCGUAAGGUGCAAGGCCGAGCCUUCAACAUCGGCGACUUGGUGCUCCGCCUCGUUCAGGACAACAGGGGUCGGCACAAGUUAACUCCCCCAUGGGAAGGUCCUUUCAUCGUCGCGCAAGUACUGCGGCCAGGCACCUACAAGCUGGCGACUCCCGACGGGCAGAUCUUCAGCAACGCUUGGAACAUAGAACAGCUAAGGCGCUUUUACCCCUAGCUCUUAUUUCCAAGUUCUGCACAAACUUGUCUGCAAUUUUGAUAAUUUUCUUUUUGCGGAAAAAGAAAACCCAAGCCGUCUCGGUUCAGGCUUUUCCCGUCAAGCUCAGGGGUAUCCGACCCUGGCCUCGUUCCAGGGCUGCAUACCCCUCGGGGGCUAUCAGGGGCUCCGUCCCAAGCCACUUGGCACCAUCUAAAAGAAACGUUUUUUCUUUCAAACCGAGCCCCCCUUUCUAGACUUUUGGACGCAAAAAGAAAAGAAUGCUCGAACGGUGCUCAGGCAAGAUUGAUCGGACUGCGAAAAAACCUACGCCCCAGCGGCUACGGCGCCUUCGCUCAUUAAAGCUUACUGACACACCUGACAACGCAUUCUAAACUUUCAAGCCCAAAGGAACAGUAAAGGGGAUCGGAAACUUUCGCACGAUAAAGUUAUAAAAAAGGCCCGUAUGGCCAUCACGAAACAAGUUCGAAACUGACAUAUUUACAAUUUGGGCGCAAGGCCGGUACAGCUAACUUGACGGGGGGUCUUCAGGAGGGACAGCCUCAUCCUCCAGGAGCUUCGCGAGGGCUUCUGCCGGGGUGAACACCGCCGCAUCAAUCUCGUCCAGCUCGGCCUCGGAGUAACCGGCGGCGUACCCUCCGCUCAUCCCGGCAAAGUUGAUGCCGGAAUAGUGGGAGCCGAAGACCCCGAAGGCUCGCCGCACGCCGGUGUGAAGCCCGUCCACGGCGAUCUCGCGGCUUCGGCGGCGUACCCUGAGGACACGAGCUGGCAGAGAGCUCGACCCCUCCUCCGGAACCACGCCGAAGCUGUCGCCGACGACACGGACCGCAUCCUGCAGGGCGCCGUGCUCACUACGCUCCGCGUCAAGCAGGUCCCUCAGCUUGGCGAGUUCGCCUGCAGGAACCAUACAGAAAAGCCCACCAAAGUCAGGAACCGCCACAACAUCACGGGAAUGCAGAAACGGAAAGGAGUCUCACCGUCGGCCCAGGCCUUCAGCUCGUGCUCCCGAUCGGCUCCUUGAGACAUGGCGUUCUGGAGUCCCUGCACUUGCGAGCGGAGGUGACCGACCUCCGCGCCAAGUUCAGCCGCCACCUUCUCAGCCUCCUCCUUCUUGACCUUCUCGGCAUCCCGGUCCUACCAAGCCUUGUGCCGCUCGCGCCGGAUGCGCUCGACGGUCUUCUGGAGGGCUUCAUGCUCCCCCCUCAGCCGUGCGAGCUCCUCAGCAUCGCGGCAGGCCCUCUCGGCGGCAGCCUGGAACUCCUCGCGAUCAAGGCGGGCCUUGUCGAUGACGGCUUGGAGCUUAGCUUCCGACCGCCGCGCCUCCUCCUGCGCCGCCUCCUCACGCCUCUGCAGGUCGGCAACGACCAACUGGGCGGCAGCAACCUGCAGGGACAGCUCCCUGGUCCGCGCCCUCUCCACAUUGAAGCGCUCCUAGAGGCCCCGCUCCAGCCGGACGAAAUUAGAUUUCCCCCGACUACACUCUUGGAGAGCCUGCAAAGCGACGUGCCAUCAGGGACAAAGCAACGGGGAAUGAUGAUCACCAACAGGAAAGAGCAACAUACCUGGCUACCAGGGAGGACGGUGUUGUCCAAAGCCCCCAUCGCCGAGGACAGAGCCGCGCGGGCGUGGGCGAGGCCACCCUGCACCGCCUGCCACUUGUGCCACUCCGCUGCGUCGUCCAGGGUGAAGCGGUGCCUCGGCGGGUCCUCGCGGGAUGACCAACGCAGGAUGGACCCCCUCCACGCCCUGGGAACGGUGGGAGCCGAGGCCGAGGCGGGAGCCCAUCCUGACGCUGCCAUCGAAGUUGGCACCACCACACUGGAAGCCGCCAGGUUUGCAGACGGCUCCGGCGCCUGCACACCCAUCGCCGCCGAGGCCGCCGCGGGGUCGCCCAAUGGCAGCGCCGCCUCUGACGCAAGCGGCAAGAUAGGAAUCCCCGCGGCUACCUUGCCCUCCGCCGCAAUCGCCAAGGGAGGCUCCUCCGCCCCUGCCGGAGCCCCUCGAGCGGGCCCCUCCACCUCCGCUAUCGGAGUCACCUCCGCUGGGAUCCUCGAGGCGGAGGUCCCCACCUCCGUCGCCGCUGCCUCCUCCGCCGCGGUCGCAGGGGCAGGCACCCCCUCCUCUGUCGGCGCCGCCGCCGAUCCCGCCACGGCUGCGGGGGCAUCCGUCCCGCCUCCCGUCGCCGUCGCCUCCUCCGCCUCGUCGGCGUCAAGGUCGAUCACCUCCCCGGCCUGAGGACCCGGGGGAAUGAUGCCCUGCGCUGUAGGGACGACCGGGGGAACCGAAGGCAGAAUGGGGUCCACUCCCCCUCCCGCGACCGACACCGCCGUCGCUCCGCCAGCCACCGUCACGGGGGCCGCCUCCGCGGAGGGGUCCGCGACCUUACCAGGGACCCCGCCGCUCGCUGCGGGCGGGACCGCGGUCCGUCCCCCGGAGGAGGACAACACCCGCAAUGCCUUCUUGGGCGCCAGCUGCAGGACGAGGCCACGGGGGGCGGCGCUGCAUAUCAACGAGCAAACGUCAGCGGGAACGAACGCGAGAAGGGAGAGGAACGAGACGCGCGAGGAAGGCCAACUUACGUUCCUGAAGCACAAGGGCGACACGCGCGCUUCGCUUCGGAGCCUGACGCCGACCCCGGGACAUCUGGCAGCGGCCGCUUGUCGCCGCUUCGCUGCCCUCCAGCCUCGGGCGUGACGGUGGAGGCGGUCUCCGCGGAUCUCCGGGGAGCGCCCUGGGUAGACUCCUGGGGGGCGCCCGGCGCCGGCUCCUGGGCGGCGGCGGGAGUAGGCUCCGAAGACCCCCGGGGGACGCUCCGCGCCGGUUCCAGGGAGGAGCCCCGUGUCGACCCCUGGGGGGCACCCCUCGCCGACCACCCUUGGGGAGCGUCCCGCGCCGGCUCCUGGGAGGCGCCCCGCACCGACCCCUGGGGGACGUCCCGCGUCAACUCCUGGGGGGCGCUUCGUGCCGGCCCCUGGGCGCAGCCCCAGGGCCUUGCGGAACCACGGUCCGGGCGGACGCCCCCUCCGCUUCACCCCCCGCGGCCGUCUGCGAGCGCACCUCCCGGAUUACAAGUGCGCCCGAUCGGAGGGAGGAAAUCAGCUCCUCCCCCUCUUCAUCAUCUUCCUCAUCUACAUCCUCUUCAUCAUCGUCGUCGUCGUCGUCAUCGUCUGACAUGACCUGCCCCCUCCGCCGCCGUUGGAGCUCCUUGGCGGCCUUCUUCUUCUUCUUCGCCGUCUCCUUGUCCUUACGGCGCUUCUGCGCCUCGGCAAGGAGACGGUUGCGCGUCCGCCGAUCAGCGUCCUCCGGCACCGGCGGAAGUGAGUCCACGACCCGGGUCAGCGCGCCCUACGAACGCAAAACGGCCCCAUGUCAGAAUGCCAAUUACAAGACGCGAAGAAAGGAAGUCGGCGCCCUAACCCCUUACCAGGUCUAUGAAGCCCGCGUCCGGGCGCAUCGGCGAGUGCCCGGGCACCGGGUACUCGGCGUCCUUGUCCUCCAGCGCCUCCCGAAUCCGUUGCCGGAUCUCGGAGGCGGCAAGCGCACCCGCCGCCAAGGCGGUGCCCUCGGCCGGCGCGUCCGAAGUCAUGGCGGCAAGCGAGCGGACCCGGAGCAUCAGCGGCGCCACCCGCCGGGCAUGGUACGCUCCGAUGACCCCGGCGCCGCUAAGCCCGCUCCUCUUCAGCUGCUCGAUGGCCUGCAGCAGGUCGAAGAUCCGCUUCUUCUCCUUGUCCACCGGCCCGUACGCCCACACCUCCGGCGCCACGUCGAUGGUACGGCCAGUAAACUCCGGCAGGGGGGAGUCCGAGUAGUUCUUCACGUAGAACCACUGGUUGUGCCACCCCUUGUGGGACGCCGAAGUCUUCAUCGCCAUAUACUCCUUGGAGCGAGUAUGGCGGAGGUGGAUCCCAGCGCACCUAAUCGGCACCGAAGGCAACCGCUCUUCUCCGUCUUCUGGUACAAACUCACUGUGAAGAAAUACUUCCACAGCGAGAAGUUGGGCUCGAUGCCCAGGAACCCCUCGCACAGUGCGACGAACGCCGCAAUGUGCUGGAUCCCGUUGGGGUUGAGGUGCUGGAGCUCGAGCCUGUAGUAGUGGAGGAGCCCCCGGAAGAAGCGGCUCGGUGGAGUAGCGAACCCCCGCUCAUGGAAGUGAGCGAAGGAGACGACGUAGCCGGAGGGAGGCUCCGGUACUUGCUCCGGCCCCGGCAGCUCCCACUCGGCCGCCUCUGUCCUCUCGCAGAAGAGGCCUUUCCGCACCAGGCCCUCGGCGCGCGAGGAGUUGAAGUGAGAGAUCCCCCAAGAACCCAUCGCCGGAGGAGGAGGAAGCUUGACGGAGGUCAAAGGAAAGUGCGCAGCUGGGGCGGAGGAAGGCGAAGCGGACGCAGAUCAGCUAAGUGCGAGGCUGGAGGACGAAAGGGCUCGAAUGCAGAAGGCGGGCGUAACCAGCGAGGCGGGCUUCCGUUUUUAUAGGAAAGGCACGGGGGAAGCCAAAUCGAUGCCCCUGCCGCCAUAAAUGCGGCGCCAGGUACGCCCCUGCCACGCCCACUUCCUUUUCGGAAACCGCGUGCACGAUCGGCCGCGAAAACAUCCUAUCCUCCUCGAUCCGCGGGACGACACUCCCCAUAACUCCGUCUCCCGGAAGGCACGCCCACGACGUCCCCCACGUUCGGCCCAAACGCAACGACCGCUCCGUUCCGGCCCAAGGCCCACCGAAAGGUAAGAAAGGGAUACGGGGCUGAAAACGCCCCUACGGCCCAUUACGGUCCAGAGGUUCGAAGGCUGGCCCGCCACGGGUUCGACAGCUGCCUCAGGACAUCCCCCGAGCGAGGGGUGAGAAGGGACGGGUCCGCUAGCGGCCAACACCCAGGCGAGCGAAAGCCAAGGGCGUCCCGACCUCACGUUCGAGUCCUGACCGGCAUGAAGUUCAUGGUUUUUCCACAAGGAAAGGCAACGAGCCCUCGGAUCCGGCCGAACGGACCCGGGAACUAUAUGAACUGGUCGGCGGGAGAUUAGAGUACGCCACCAGCUUGGCCCGAGCCGGACCCCCCCGAACGAGGACCGGGACUCCACUCGAACCUACCCGUUCGCAGCUCAACGAGCACCACGGUUCGUCCAACGAGGAUAACGUGGCACGGCUCAACCCCUUCGUCCUAGUGAACGGACGCUUGAGGGGCAACGAUCAAAAGUCGACCUGGCCUCCCGACAGGUCUCCUGCAACGCUCGGGGGCUCGGGGGCUAGCAUCGCAACCAACGACCACGCGUGUGGUCGCGAUUCACAGGCUCCCCGACCAAGCUGGGCUAAAACAAACGCACCCUACCCCCAACAAGAUCUCCGGCGAAACGGCGAAAGAAGCCUCCGGAGGAGCACUCUUGCUCCACCACAGGCUCGGGGGCUACUGUUGGGGGUAAAUAUUAACGAUCUCCUAAAUACCGCUUAAAGGAACAAACAUGAAGGCCCAGGCCCAUCCAGGAUAACAAACUCACCUUCAAACCCAACAUGAGCAAAACUCCGCCUCACCCGACCACGAUCUCAGGGUCGGGAAACGUCCGACCUCCCGCCACGAGGCUCCGCCUCACCCGACCGCGGUCCCGGGGUCGGGAGCGUCCGACCUCCCGCCGCGAGGCUCCGCCUCGUCCGACCGCGACCCCAGGGUCGGAGGCGCCCGACCCCUCGCCACAAGGUUCCGCCUCGUCCGACCCUGGGCACGGGGGUCGGACUCACUGGGGCCCCCAGGACGGGUAGCCCCCUCGGGCGCGGAUCGGGUGAUCAAGGUAACGAUCCUGUGGGUCCCCCUUAUCGACCUCGUCAUAAAUGCGCCGCAGGCCUGGCAGGAAGAAGGAUGACCGCGCUCCUCACGCAACCCGCUGCAAGUACCCAUGCACGACCACACUGUACAAGCUACAGUGCUGGCGGCUUCCUUCCAUUCGCCGCAGGGUACUCAUGGCCUGCGUCGACCGGAGCAGAGGGAAGACUCGCCCGUUCUUGGGCUCCGCGCGCCCGGCAGCGGGGAUGUGACGCCCUCUCUCCACAAGCCAUCAUCAGGACGGCGGCAUCCGCCGUCCCUCCCAACGGACACCAGAGUAACGACGAAACGCCUUCAUCAUAACCCGACGCCUACGGACACCGAAGAGGCUAUCUGUAGGGCGCGACGACAGUUGGCACGCGGCCGCCCCCCUCCUCCAGCAUGCACGCCGGCGCACGUCAGGGGCCGGCGAAGGCGCCGGGCACCUAGGAACUUGGUUUCUCCCUUCUUGCCGUAUUUUUACCAUACUACGUUUAAACUCUUACUGCCCUCAUCGCCCAGUCUCAGCUAUAACUCCGGCUGCUCCCUUACAAUAUAAAAGGGGGCAUCGGGGGCCAGAGAGGGGGAUCGGCUUCUUCUCCCACAAGCCACAGCACAUUACUACUCUCCCUGAGAGCACAAGCACGAAAGAGACUUGGGACCAGUCCCUCUCUCGUCGAUCUGUAACCCCUACUACAGAACUUCGCGUGGGCAACACGAGCAUCCUCGAUACUGAACGUAAAGCUUCCCUUGCCCGAACCAGUCUAAACCCGUGUCUCCCACGCCACCAUCUGAAGCCUUACGCGCAUAAAAGAAAUUUACUAGUCUAAGUCUUGAUCCGCAAAUCCUGACAACGACACUAGGGGUCAGAUCCACGUUUUUCCUGAAGUACUUCAGAGAGUGCUCUAAAAACAUCAGUUUCGGACUUCCUCGUGGAGUUAGGAGGUAUUUAUCCACCUUUACCACUCGUUACACAGCAUAACGAUUCUUCUUUGGUUGCUUGUAUCAUUUGGUUCAUAUAUGAAAUGGUUCAUCAAAAUAAUGAUCCUUUUAUUUGGUAGGGUAUAUUGUAUCAACUCAUCCAUAAUGAAGUCAUCCCAUUUAAUUUAUUAUUCUACUAAGCAAAUUGGUUAAACCUCACCGUCAUACAUGCAUGAUAUGGUUCGUGCAACCACCCACACCUAAUUUUUCUUUCCGCUCACUGUCUCCGUCGCCCUCCACCUCCCGUGGAAGCACGCCGGCGGUGGCGCUUCGCGGCCACGAGGAAGCGCCGCGUCAACGCGGGGGAGCUGCUCGUGGCGCGGAAGCACGGGGUGGCCGGCCGCAGCAGGAAGAUGGAGGACGCCGUGUCCGUGCGCGAGGCGUUCGUCGCGCCCUCCGCUGCUGUGGACGAGCGGCGCCCCGCCGUCGGGAGCGGGAGGUGCGAUUUCUACGGGGUGUUCGGCAGCCGUGGGAGCGGGAGGUGCGAUUUCUACGGGGUGUUCGACGGCCACGGCUGCUCCCACGUCGCCGAGGCGUGCCGGGACCGGAUGCACGACCUGCUCGCCGAGGAGCUGUCCGCCGACGACGAUGAGGCGGCGCUGCCGCGGGAGCCUGCGGCUUGGACCGCGGCGAUGGAGCGGUGCUUCGCGCGGAUGGACGCCGAGGUGACCUCCGCCGGCGGCCGCCAGCGCCAGCUGCCGCUGCGACGCGCACAAGUGCUCUGCCGCGGCGGCGGUGCGGCGCCGGUGCCGCUGUCCUCGGACCACAAGCCCGACCGGCCCGAUGAGCAGGAGCGGAUCGAGUCCGCGGGCGGGCGCGUCAUCUUCUGGGAGGGCGCGCGGGUGCUGGGCGUGCUGGCCAUGUCCCGCGCCAUCAGGGACGGGUACCUCAAGCCGUACAUGCCGUCGGUGCCCGAGGUGACGGACCUCGCCGAGGACGACGAGGAGCGCUUAGAUUAAUUAUUAUUAUGGUGUAACCGGAAUUCGAUCCGGAUACCAUUUGGGAUGAAAAAAGGUGUUUAAAUCAUCUAAGGCUGAGAUGGUCGGUCGAGAAGAAUUCGAUGCGGAUCCAAUCUGGAACGAAGCCUCACUAGUCUGCUUUUUUUUUAUCUUCGGUAGAACAUUUGGUUGCACAUUUUAGUCAUUGUAGCAUUAUUCGAUGGAAUAUCACAUUUUAUAUCUUGCUAUGCUCAUUGUUCAGCUAGUUUUUAUUUUUUCCUAAAGUACUGUAGCGAUAGUACCGUAGCAGCGGCAAAAAAACAAAAUACAACUGUGCAUAAUGCUUAAAACACAACUAGGCAUCCAUCAUGGGCAAAAUAGAACAUUCCCACCAAAUUCUCAUAUUUCUAAAGCUGGAGCACUACAAUCUGCCAAACACGUACAACAACUCCAUAUUUUUUUAGAGUUGGUGGAGUGGACCUAAAUUGUAGGUUAUUUUAUUGUUUCUAGAUACAUCAAUUUUACUACAUAUGUAGACUCUGCGUAACAAAAAUCAUGCAUUUUUUUAAACCAACCUGCAAUUUGAAAUGUAUGAAGUGAAUUAGAGUAGUGCAUAUAUAACUGCAGUACACCCGUAGGCACAGCACGGGCCGGGGUAGGCACGCGGCGGAAUAAAUAACAAACCGUACGUGCAACCGUACGGUCCAGCGUUUCCCUCCUGAUCGAUACAUUGCAGAGGAAGAAAUUACAUGCAGAAUCGUGCAGUGGCUCCGCGGUUGAGGGGAUAUAAGAGAAAGGAAUUAAAUCCAACAUCCGCAGCAUGCACGUAGAUACCUUAAUUUUGCUCAAGUUUCCGCAAGUGACAUGUGCAUACUCCUACAUACAAUAUUCUCCACGUCUACGGAUUAACAUGGAGCGCCUCAAAAAAAAAAGAGGAACGGAGGAAGUAGUUAUCUAGACGAAAAAAGAGAAAUGCAUGCAGCCUCAGCUUACCAGGUCAGCGACGCACACGUGCCUGCCGCAAAAAAACAGCAGUGUGUACAUUCCAUCUACCUAAUUGAGAGCUGUAAUUCUAAUUCAUGUGCCACUAGAUUUCACUCUCGCUAUUUGCCGCGUGUAAUGCUAAUUCUAAUUUAUAGCAUCUCAAGUUUGACCAAAUUUAUACCAUAAAUACUAACAUUUAUGAUACCAAAUAAGUAUUAUUAGAUUCUUUAUUAAAUAUAUUUUUAUAGUAUAUUAACUGGCACCCGCGCAGGAAUUUUAAUGAGCCGGGCCGAGAAGGACUGAAGGAGCCAAUACUGUGAGCCUGAGUCAGGUGAGGUCCGCUCGUCCCACUGAGCACCUGAGAGGCAGAGACCAUCUUUUUCCGGUUGGAGUUCAUGCUUCUCCAUUAAUCAUCUUUACCAUUAUUAGGAAUGAAGACAAAUGCCGGCAAAAGGAUGACAACAAUAUUUAACUAAUGUUAAGUUCAUUGCACAUUUAGAUUUAAUAGAUUAAAGCUGCAAUUUAAAUGUCAUUUUGAUGUAAUAUGAAGUAAAAAUAAAAAAGAAAAGGAAAUAACACUAGUUACACAAGGAUGAGUAAUUUAUUCUGACCAUAGAAAAAAAAACAACAAAACAUGCUACGUCCCCUACCCAGAGAUGAUAUAGAUGGAACAUAGUUUGGAUUGGUCGAGCCUAUUUCCACAAUGUAUAGCAAGGCAACGUAAUGACAAAGUGGAAUUGUAGGCUACGAACAACUGAAGAUCGAGGACGACGCUAGACGGUGAGACCGGAGCCCUCGAACUUGGAGCGCGUGAUGUCGUCGAUGCGCCGCGCCGUCUCCGGUGAGAGGUGGUUCACCCAGUCCCCCACCACGCCACGCCGGAAGAAGAUGCUGUUCUCCAGAGAGAUGGCCCCCAUCACCGUCCUGCCGCUUUUCGUCGCCUCAAGCCCGCACAUGUGCUCGAAAGCGCACAGCCUGACGAUGGCGUCCGCCGUGCCGUCCUCGCCAGCACCGCCGAACGGGAGCCCCACGAACUCCGCCAGCCGCCGGACGUGCGCCGCGGGGUCCCUCACCAUCUCCUCGUACCGGAAGAAGAGCACCCAGUCGGGCCGCGCCAGGUGCGCACGCCAGUACCCGAGCACGUGCUCCCAGUACGGGCCGAACGACGACUCGCCGGCGCAGAACAUGUCGGCGGCGACCUCGGCGGAGAGGAGCGCCAUCCCCUCCUUGGCCCUGAACUUGUUUAUGAAGUGCCAUAGAGAGACCAGGGUGUCCUUGGGGUCGCGGCACACGUACACGACCUUGCAGCCGCCGCCGGCGACAGACCCCGGCAGCGCCGCGAAGGGGACGUGCGUGGAGAAGAGCCUCGGAUCCGGGAGGUCGCCGAUGUCGGGGACUCUACCGCAAGUGUAGUAGAUCUGGUACUCCAAGUUCUGGACGCACUCGUGGGGGCCGAAGGAGUGGAAAGGGUGGUCGGCGGCGUCCGGAGGGUGCUCCCGCCGGCGCACGGUGGCGUAGAGGAGCGCUUCGGUCCACGUGGUGCCGGUCUUGGGCAGGCUGGCGAGGACGACGUCCGUGGGCCGCGCGGCGAAGCGGGCGCCGGCGACCAUGGCACCGACCAUGGGCAUCUGGCCGGCGCGCCAGCCUUGGCCGUGGAGGUAGAGCCGCUGGAGCGACAGGCCAUCGGAGCUCGGCAGGGAGGAGACCAGGUCGGUGAAACGCUGGUAGAGUUGCUGGUUGGUUUCCUCCGCUUGCGCAUCGGCUUCUUGCUGGGGAACGGUUUGCACGGAGAACGACAUGGCGAGUUGGCGAGUCGUGGCACCUUUGAUUCUUUGUAUAAACAUAUGCAAGGGUAAGGCGUCUGGUACUCUAGCUUGUUGAUGGUUCGGUAAAGGUGCCUUGGUGGCCUGGUAGAGGAAGCAAACCCCGGCGAGAGGCCUGUGAUUAUAUUCCACGAGGCUCUCAUAGCACGGGCUGGGUAGGCAAGCGGCGGAAUAAUAAAAAAACCACGUGCAACCACGUGAGGUGACGGCGCAGUCGUGGAUCCCUCGUCCAGUUCCCUUCCCUCACAAUAGCAGAUGAGAUGUGAGGAAGAUGCAGAAGAUCACCCGUAUCUUUUCCCAGUAGUACUCACCGUACACCCGCAGGCACAGCACACCACGAGGCCUGUGAUUAUAUUCCACGAGGCUCUCACCGUACACCCGCAGGCACAGCACGGGCCGGGGUAGGCAAGCGGCGGAAUAAAAUAACAAACCGUACGUGCAACCACGUGAGAUGAUUGACAAUAAUGCGUUGCCAACGCCACAGCAUGAGCUCGGAUAUGACGCGCCGCCGAUGCGCCGCAACAUCAGGCUGCCAUCUCUCGUAUCGUAUCCAUGGAUGCUACCUGAACUGCUAGAAGCAGUUUGUCCAACUUCUUUUCGUGACGGUUCUGAUCGAUCCAUUGCAGUUGCAGAGGAAGAAAUUACACGUAGAAUUGUGCAGUGGCUCCGCGGUUGAGGGGAUAUAAGAGAAGGGGAUCCAACAUCCGCAGCAUGCACGUAGAUGCCCCCUGGCACCUAGAGGUGAUCUAGAAAACAUUAAUAUGUAGAGUUUUUUCAUAGGUGGCAUUAAUUUCUUCCCUUCUUUGUACGGCACCUUAAUUUUGCUCAAGUUUCCGCAAGUGACACGUGCAUGCUCCAGCAUACAGUAUUCUCCACGUCUACGGAUUAACAUGGAGCGCCUCCAAAAGAAAGAGGAAGCGAGAGAGGCGCACAAAAUAAGCAACUUUUUACCCCCAACAUUAUUAUUUAUACAUAUAUACUAUUAAUUAUUUUCUCUUGCUUUAAUUUGUACUACUAGUAUCGUGAUUAUUCGAAUCAGAUCAGGGCUAGAUGUGGCUUGGAUGAAGAAGCACCAUGCACGUUGCGGAACUACUGAGAAGUAAGUCCAUGCAUGCACAACUAGAGGAGUCAUAAAAUGUACAGAUAGAGCCUUUUGUACACACUGGAAUCGUCAAAACGUACGUGCUUGUGUACUGUUCCCAUUUAUUGGGUGACGUAACUCAAGGCUUUGAUGAUACUUUAAACAUGUAGGCCACGUUAUUUUAUACGUAAAACGUAUUACUUUAGUGGAUGUUGAAAAUAGUCUGUACAGCUUUUACCAGCCUGGGGCCUUUCUUCUUUUUUUUUGGGACGGCUAAGUUAUAAUGAUCUUUUGCUAAAAUUUUCGUUACCAUGAGGGCCUUUCUUCUUUUUUGUAUGGUUCUUUUGCAGUUCCCUGGGCCGAAAGGUGUGCAGCGCUCCAGCCAUUUACUUCUUCCUCCACAGUCUGUCCUUUUGGCCAGCCCAAUAAGCGACGGAGCUCCAAGACGUUCAUGGGCUCAUGAGACCUGCUGCAUGCAGUUUAUCAUGCACGCACCACCAACCCUCAGCGCUUCACCUUCCCUGUCGAAUUUUUUUAUUUUUAUAUUUUUUUUGAUUUUGCAGAAAUAUAUAGUCGGAUGGAAAAAUUGCAGAUUGGGCUAUUGCCGCCGGCCCAGGCGGCGGAAGGGCCUUGCCACCACCUCAGCCGGCGGUAAGGCCCCCCGCCAACGGUCAGCAACCGGCGUAACUGCGGGCGCGUGAGUCGAGGUGUUACCGCCGCCUGGGCCGGCGACAGUCACCCCUUUAUAACCCGCCCGCGUCCCUCCCCUCUCCCCGCACCAGUGCGCGCCCGCAACAAGCCUGAGAAGGGAGAGGGAAGAGAAAGAGGAAAGGAGGGAAGGAAAAAAAAGAGAGAGAGGAGAGGAGGAGGAGGGAAGAAAAAAAAAGAAAGAAAGGAGGAGGAGGUGGAAUAGGGAAGAAAUUUCUUCUGUCUUUCGUAGGUAAUUUUUUUUAAUCUCGUAGUUUAGUUUAGUUUAGAUCUAGAUUUAGAAAUAUUAGUCUAACUGUUAGAGGGUGUUUGGCAGCACUCUUUUUUAGAAAAAACAGGUCCACUUUACCAACUCUACAAAAUUACUUGUCAAACACAUCUAGCUCCACAAACUUCAGCUUCAGAAAAAAUAUGGAGCUAGGGGUCAGAUCCACAUUUUUCCUGAAGUACUUCAGAGGGUGCUCUAAAAACAUCAGUUUCGGACUUCCUCGUGGAGUUAGGGGUUAUUUAUCCACCUUUGCCACUCGUUACACAGCAUAACGAUUCUUCUUUGGUUGCUUGUAUCAUUUGGUUCAUGCAUGAAAUGGUUCAUCAAAAUAAUGAUCCUUUUGUUUGGUAGGGUAUAUUGUAUCAACUCAUCCAUAAUAAAGUCAUCCCAUUUAAUUUAUUAUUCUACUAAGCAAAUUGAUUAAACACCACCAUCAUACAUGCAUCAUAUGGUGCAUGCAACCACGCACACCUAAUUUUUCUUUCCGCUCACUGUCUCCGUUGCCCCCCACCUCCCGUGGAAGCACGCCGGCGGUGGCGUUUCGCGGCCACGAGGAAGCGCCGCGUCGACGCGGGGGAGCUGCUCGUGGCGCGGAAGCACGGGGUGGCCGGCCGCAGCAGGAAGAUGGAGGACGCCGUGUCCGUGCGCGAGGCGUUCGUCGCGCCCUCCGCUGCUGUGGACGAGCGGCGCCCCGCCGUCGGGAGCGGGAGGUGCGAUUUCUACGGGGUGUUCGACAGCCGUGGGAGCGGGAGGUGCGAUUUCUACGGGGUGUUCGACGGCCACGGCUGCUCCCACGUCGCCGAGGCGUGCCGGGACCGGAUGCACGACCUGCUCGCCGAGGAGCUGUCCGCCGGCGACGAUGAGGCGGCGCUGCCGCGGGAGCCUGCGGCUUGGACCGCGGCGAUGGAGCGGUGCUUCGCGCGGAUGGACGCCGAGGUGACCUCCGCCGGCGGCCGCCAGCGCCAGCUGCCGCUGCGACGCGCACAAGUGCUCUGCCGCGGCGGCGGUGCGGCGCCGGUGCCGCUGUCCUCGGACCACAAGCCCGACCGGCCCGAUGAGCAGGAGCGGAUCGAGUCCGCGGGCGGGCGCGUCAUCUUCUGGGAGGGCGCGCGGGUGCUGGGCGUGCUGGCCCGCGCCAUCAGGGACGGGUACCUCAAGCCGUACGUGCCGUCGGUGCCUGAGGUGACGGUGACGGACCUCGCCGAGGACGACGAGGAGCGCUUAGAUUAAUUAUUAUUAUGGUGUAACCGGAAUUCGAUCCGGAUACCAUUUGGGAUGAAAAAAGGUGUUCAAAUCAUCUAAGGCUGAGAUGGUCGGUCAAGAAGAAUUCGAUGCGGAUCCAAUCUGGAACGAAGCCUCACUAGUCUGCUUUUUUUUUAUCUUCAGUAGAACAUUUGGUUGAACAUUUUAGUCAUUGGAGCAUUAUUCGAUGGAAUAUCACAUUUUAUAUCUUGCUAUGCUCAUUGUUCAGCUAGUUUUUAUUUUUUUUCCCGAGUACUGUAGCGAUAGUACCGUAGCAGCGGCAAAAAAACAAAAUACAACUGUGCGUAAUGCUUAAAACACAACUAGGCAUCCAUCAUGAGCAAAAUAGAACAUUCCCACCAAAUCCUCAUAUUUCUAAAGCUGGAGCACUACAAUCUGCCAAACACGUACAACAACUUCAUAUUUUUUUAGAGUUGGUGGAGUGAACCUGGGAAAGUGUAGAGCUGGUGGAGUGCAGCUAUUUUUUAUGAGGUGGAAUGCUGCAUGCAACUGUCAAAAUCGACCGUCAUGUGUCGCUCCUGCCUUGCAUCAGUAAUUAUAAAUUAGAGUGUAUUUUUUAGAAAGAGGAAUAAUCUCCUGCCUCUUGCGACAUACUUCCCCGUUCUAAAUUGUAGGUUAUUUUAACGUUUCUAGAUGCAUCAAUUUUACUACAUAUGUAGACUCUGCGUAACAAAAAUCAUGCAUUUUUUUUAAACCAACCUGCAAUUUGAAAUGUAUGAAGUGAAUUAGAGUAGUGCAUCUAUAACUACAGUACACCCGCAGGCACAGCACGGGCCGGGUAGGCACGCGGCGGAAUAAAUAACAACCGUACGUGCAACCGUACGGUCCAGCGUUUCCCUCCUGAUCGAUACAUUGCAGAGGAAGAAAUUACAUGCAGAAUCGUGCAGUGGCUCCGCGGUUGAGGGGAUAUAAGAGAAGGGGAUCCGCAACAUGCACGUAGAUGCCCCCCUGGGUCUGGGAAACGGGAAAGGCGGGAAGGUAACUGGCGCCCGCGCAGGAAUUUUAAUGGGCCGGGCCGAGAAGGACUGAAGGAGCCAAUACUGUGAGCCUGAGUCAGGUGAGGUCCGCUCGUCCCAGGCCAUGUUUAGUUACCCCCAAAUUCCCAACUUUGGCACUAUGCAAAAAGAAGAUUCCCCCUCACAUCAAACUUGCGGUACAUGCAUGGAGUACUAAAUGUAGACGAAAUCAAAAACUAAUUGCACAGUUUUGUUGUACUUUGCGAGACGAAUCUUUUGAGUCUAAUUAGUCAAUAUUUGGACAAUAAUUCACAAAUACAAACGAAAUACUACAGUUGCGCAUUUAUGACAAAAUCCCAACUUUGGCACUCCCAAAUUGGGAACUAAACAAGGCCCCACUGAGCUCCUGAGAGGCAGAGACCAUCUUUUUCCGGUUGGAGUUCAUGCUUCUCCAUUAAUCAUCUUUACCAUUAUUAGGAAUGAAGACAAAUGCCGGCAAAAGGAUGACAACAAUAUUUAACUAAUGUUAAGUUCAUUGCACAUUUAGAUUUAAUAGAUUAAAGCUGCAAUUUAAAUGUCAUUUUGAUGUAAUAUGAAGUAAAAAUAAAAAAGAAAAGGAAAUAACACUAGUUACACAAGGAUGGGUAAUUUAUUCUGACCACAGGAAAAAAAAACAACAAAACAUGCUACGUCCCCUACCCAGAGAUGAUAUAGAUGGAACAUAGUUUGGAUUGGUCGAGCCUAUUUCCACAAUGUAUAGCAAGGCAACGUAAUGACAAAGUGGAAUAUGGUUCUGUUUGGCUGCAGAUGGCUAAAGUUUAGCACCUAUCACAUCGAAUGUUUGGAUGCUAAUUAGGAGUAUUAAACAUAGUCUAAUUACAAAACUAAUUGCACAAAUGGAGUCUAAGUCGUGAGACAAAUCUAUUAAGCCUAAUUAGGCUUAAUAAAUUCGUCUCACGAAUUAGCACAGGGUUAUGCAAUUAGUUUUAUAAUUAGUUUAUGUUUAGUUCUCCUAAUUAGCAUCCGAAUAUCCGAUGUGAUAUUGCUAAACUUUAGCACCUGGUAUCACGAACAGCUGAAGAUCAAGGACGACGCUAGACGAUGAGACCGGAGCCCUCGAACUUGGAGCGCGUGAUGUCGUCGAUGCGCCGCGCCGUCUCCGGUGAGAGGUGGUUCACCCAGUCCCCCACCACGCCACGCCGGAAGAAGAUGCUGUUCUCCACAGAGCUGGUCCCCGCCACCGUCCUGCCGCUUUUCGUCGCCUCAAGCCCGCACAUGUGCUCGAAAGCGCACAGCCUGACGAUGGCGUCCGCCGUGCCGUCCUCGCCAGCGCCGCCGAACGGGAGCCCCACGAACUCCGCCAGCCGUCGGACGUGCGCCGCGGGGUCCCUCAUCAUCUCCUCGUACCGGAAGAAGAUCACCCGGUCGGGCCGCGCCAGGUGCGCACGCCAGUACCCGAGCACGUGCUCCCAGUACGGGCCGAACGGCGACUCGCCGGCGCAGAACAUGUCGGCGGCGACCUCGGCGGAGAGGAGCCCUAUCCCCUCCUUGGCCCUGAACUUGUUUAUGAAGUGCCAUAGAGAGACCAGGGUGUCCUUGGGGUCGCAGCACACGUACACGACCAUGCAGCCGCCACCGGCGACAGACCCCGGCAGCGCCGCGAAGGGGACGUGCGUGGCGAAGAGCCUCGGAUCCGGGAGGUCGCCGAUGUCGGGGACUCUGCCGCAAGUGUAGAUCUGGAACUCCAAGUUCUGGACGCACUCGUGGGGGCCGAAGGAGUGGAAAGGGUGGUCGGCGGCGUCCGGAGGGUGCUCCCGCCGGUGCACGAUGGCGUAGAGGAGCGCUUCGGUCCACGUGGUGCCGGUCUUGGGCAGGCUGGCGAGGACGACGUCCGUGGGCCGCGCGGCGAAGCGGGCGCCGGCGACCAUGGCACCGACCAUGGGCAUCUGGUCGGUGCGCCAGCCUUGGCCGUGGAGGUAGAGCCGCUGGUGCGACAGGCCAUCGGAGCUCGGCAGGGAGGAGACCAGGUCGGUGAAACGCUGGUAGAGUUGCUGGUUGGUUUCCUCCGCUUGCGCAUCGGCUUCUUGCUGGGGAACGGUUUGCACGGAGAACGACAUGGCGAGUUGGCGAGUCGUGGCACCUUUGAUUCUUUGUAUAAAUGUAUGCAAGGGUAAGG
rnacentral:lncRNA from 1 species